GGUCAAGUUAUUAAGGGUGCAGGGCGGAUGCCUUGGCACUAGGAGCCGAUGAAGGACGUGAUAAGCUGCGAUAAGCUUCGGGGAGUUGCACGUAAACUUUGAUCCGAAGAUUUCCGAAUGAGGAAACUCACUUAGAGUAAUGUCUAAGUAUCAUUAAGUGAAUACAUAGCUUAAUGAGGGGAACUCAGGGAACUGAAACAUCUAAGUACCUGAAGGAAGAGAAAGAAAUUCGAUUCCGUAAGUAGCGGCGAGCGAACGCGGAUUAGCCCAAACCAAUAAAGUUUUCUUUAUUGGGGUUGCGGACAUAUCAUAACGAAGAGGUAUCGUAAUUGAAGAGGUUUGGAAAGACCCACCACAGAAGGUAAUAGUCCUGUAUGUUAAACGAGAAGACUUUAGAUAUGAUCCAGAGUACCACGGGACACGUGAAACCCUGUGGGAAGCAGGAGGGACCACCCUCCAAGGCUAAAUACUACCUAGUGACCGAUAGCGUAUAGUACCGUGAGGGAAAGGUGAAAAGAACCCCGGGAGGGGAGUGAAAUAGAACCUGAAACCCUGCACUUACAAGCUGUGGAAGCACAUUUCUUGUGUGACCGCGUACUUUUUGUAGAACGGGCCAACGAGUUACGUUAAGUAGCAAGGUUAAGCACUUAAGGUGCGGAGCCGUAGCGAAAGCGAGUUUUAACUGAGCGUUCAGUUACUUGACGUAGACCCGAAACCGGGCGACCUACCCAUGAGCAGGAUGAAGCGAAAGUAAAAUUUCGUGGAGGUCCGAACCCACGAGCGUUGAAAAGCUCGGGGAUGACUUGUGGGUAGCGGUGAAAUUCCAAUCGAGCCCGGAGAUAGCUGGUUCUCCCCGAAAUAGCUUUAGGGCUAGCCUCAAGGUGAGAGAUACGGAGGUAGAGCACUGAAUGUCCUAGGGGGUAUUGCACCUACCGAAGACUAUCAAACUCCGAAUGCCGUCAUCUUAUACUUGGGAGUCAGACUGUGGGUGAUAAGAUUCAUAGUCGAAAGGGCAACAGCCCAGAUCGUCAGCUAAGGUCCCUAAAUGUAAGUUAAGUGGUAAAGGAUGUGGGAUUGCACAGACAACCAGGAUGUUGGCUUAGAAGCAGCCACUCAUUCAAAGAGUGCGUAAUAGCUCACUGGUCGAGUGAUCCUGCGCCGAAGAUUUCCGGGGCUAAAACUUACUACCGAAGCUACGGCAUCAGUAAUGAUGGGUAGGGGAGCUUCCCAUACGGGUUGAAGCAUGACCGUAAGGACAUGUGGACAGUAUGGGAGUGAGAAUGUUGGCAUGAGUAGCGAGAUGUGGGUGAGAAUCCCACAGGCCGUAAACCCAAGGUUUCCAGGGGAAGGUUCGUCCGCCCUGGGUUAGUCGGGACCUAAGCUGAGGCCGAAAGGCGUAGGUGAUGGACAACAGGUUGAUAUUCCUGUACUACCGAUAACCGUUUGAGAGAAGGGAUGACACAGUAGGAUAAGCUAAGCACACUGUUGGUUAUGUGUGCCCAAGCAUUGAGGCAGUCAAAGUAGGCAAAUCCGCUUUGAUAAUGCUGGGAUGUGAUGGGGAGCGAAAUUUAGUAGCGAAGUAGCUGAUUUCACACUGUCAAGAAAAGUCUCUAUCGAGGUUAAAGGUACCCGUACCGCAAACCGACACAGGUGGGUGAGGAGAGUAUCCUAAGGCCAGCGAGAGAACUGUUGUUAAGGAACUCGGCAAAAUGACCCCGUAACUUAGGGAUAAGGGGUGCCACCAUCAGGUGGCCGCAGAGAAUAGGCCCAAGCGACUGUUUACCAAAAACAUAGGUUUCUGCUAAGUCGCAAGACGAUGUAUAGGAGCUGACGCCUGCCCGGUGCUGGAAGGUUAAGGGGAUCUGUUAGAGCAAUCGAAGCAGUGAACUUAAGCCCCAGUAAACGGCGGCCGUAACUAUAACGGUCCUAAGGUAGCGAAAUUCCUUGUCGGGUAAGUUCCGACCCGCACGAAAGGCGUAACGAUUUGGGCACUGUCUCAACAACAGACUCGGUGAAAUUGUAAUUCCGGUGAAGAUGCCGGAUACCUGCGACAGGACGGAAAGACCCCAUGGAGCUUUACUGUAGCUUGACAUUGGGUCUUGGUACUACAUGUACAGGAUAGGUGGGAGGCUUUGAAACCAGGACGCCAGUUUUGGCGGAGCCAUCCUUGGGAUACCACCCUUGUAGUACUGGGACUCUAACCAUAGGCCAUGAAUCUGGUCUUGGGACACUGUCAGGUGGGCAGUUUGACUGGGGCGGUCGCCUCCCAAAAGGUAACGGAGGCGCUCAAAGGUUCUCUCAGUACGGUCGGAAAUCGUACGUAGAGUGUAAAGGCAAAAGAGAGCUUGAUUGCAAGACAUACAGGUCGAGCAAGGAUGAAAAUCGGACUUAGUGAUCCGGUGGUUCUGCGUGGAAGGGCCAUCGCUCAACGGAUAAAAGCUACCCUGGGGAUAACAGGCUUAUCUCCCCCAAGAGUCCACAUCGACGGGGAGGUUUGGCACCUCGAUGUCGGCUCAUCACAUCCUGGGGCUGUAGUAGGUCCCAAGGGUUGGGCUGUUCGCCCAUUAAAGUGGUACGCGAGCUGGGUUCAGAACGUCGUGAGACAGUUCGGUCCCUAUCCGUCGCAGGCGUAGGAAAUUUGAGAAGACCUGUCCUUAGUACGAGAGGACCGGGAUGGACGUACCUCUGGUGUACCAGUUGUCCUGCCAAGGGCAUGGCUGGGUAGCUAUGUACGGAAUGGAUAAGCGCUGAAAGCAUCUAAGCGCGAAGCCAACUUCAAGAUAAGAUUUCCCACCGCAAGGGUAAGACCCCAGAAAGACUAUCUGGUUGAUAGGUCGAAGGUGUAAGUG
rnacentral:rRNA from 1 species